rnacentral:rRNA from 1 species
AUUGAUUUUAUGCUUGCAUAAAUGAUUUUUGGAUUCGGAGCGAGUGGCGAACUGGUGAGUAACACGUGGGUAACCUGCCCCGAAGCGGGGGAUAACAUUUGGAAACAAGUGCUAAUACCGCAUAAUUAGUUGGAACCGCAUGGUUCCAACUUGAAAGAUGGCUCUGCUAUCACUUUGGGAUGGACCCGCGCCGUAUUAGUUAGUUGGUGAGAUAAAAGCCCACCAAGACGAUGAUACGUAGCCGACCUGAGAGGGUAAUCGGCCACAUUGGGACUGAGACACGGCCCAGACUCCUACGGGAGGCAGCAGUAGGGAAUCUUCCACAAUGGACGAAAGUCUGAUGGAGCAACGCCGCGUGAGUGAUGAAGGUUUUCGGAUCGUAAAACUCUGUUGUUAAAGAAGAACAAGUGUUAGAGUAACUGUUAACACUUUGACGGUAUUUAACCAGAAAGCCACGGCUAACUACGUGCCAGCAGCCGCGGUAAUACGUAGGUGGCAAGCGUUGUCCGGAUUUAUUGGGCGUAAAGCGGGCGCAGGCGGUUUUGUAAGUCUGCUGUGAAAGCCCUCAGCUCAACUGGGGAAGUGCAGUGGAAACUACAAAACUUGAGUACAGAAGAGGAAAGUGGAACUCCAUGUGUAGCGGUGAAAUGCGUAGAUAUAUGGAAGAACACCAGUGGCGAAGGCGGCUUUCUGGUCUGUUACUGACGCUGAGGCUCGAAAGCAUGGGUAGCGAACAGGAUUAGAUACCCUGGUAGUCCAUGCCGUAAACGAUGAAUACUAGGUGUUGGAGGGUCUCCGCCCUUCAGUGCCGCAGCUAACGCAUUAAGUAUUCCGCCUGGGGAGUACGACCGCAAGGUUGAAACUCAAAGGAAUUGACGGGGGCCCGCACAAGUGGUGGAGCAUGUGGUUUAAUUCGAUGCUACGCGAAGAACCUUACCAGCUCUUGACAUCUUCUGCCAACCCAAGAGAUUGGGCGUUCCCUUCGGGGACAGAAUGACAGGUGGUGCAUGGUUGUCGUCAGCUCGUGUCGUGAGAUGUUGGGUUAAGUCCCGCAACGAGCGCAACCCUUAUUAUUAGUUGCCAGCAUUUAGUUGGGCACUCUAGUGAGACUGCCGGUGAUAAA